CCCCACUCUGCUCCUGGGGAUUCGCCCUUCCCACCAGAGCACCGCCAGUGUCAAUUUUGUUUGGAGAUGGGUGCCGAGAUGUAAACUGACUGCCAGGAAUGCUGGUGCUAAUAUCUCACAUCUAAGUCCUCUCCAGGAAUUGAUUUCAGUUGAAGUGAGUUGUCUCAACUAAGGUUGCACUUCCUUCCUGGGAAAUAACCAUAUCCAAAACUGGGUAAUACGGGAAAUACAAGGGUCUGAACGCCUUGCCUUUAUUCAAGAAACUUGGAAGGACUAUUCUGGCUCAAGGGUUUCCCAGAGGAUAUGGUGAGGACUCUAUAACAACUACAUCUCACAGUUCUCCCUCUGCCCAAACCUGUUUCUGCACUCCCAUUUGGGUAUAUUUUCCUAAACACUCUCCAGUAAAACCCCUGCACAUAAAUAUCUGCCUAAUAGUCUGUUUCCUGGGAAAUGUAAUUUUGGGAUGAUUGGUAUUUGAAACGAUUGUAGGAAUCAGACUCUAAAAUGGGAUUUUGAGUUGGUCACCCUCCAGGCAGUUGGCAGUGCAGUGAUAGAUGGAGUACUUAUAGCCCCUGGCAGUGUUCAAACUCUCUGGUGAUGAACUGGGAUGAGAUACCACAGAAGGUAAUGCACUGACUGGUACAAUAAUUCAGACCUUGGAAAAUUUGAGGGAGUAGCAAUUAUAAGGAGUAUGCAUUUGAAUGGCUCUUGCUGGGUACGAUUGAUGGAUUGGAAAAGAUAAUGAAAGACUAGAUUUUUAAUCACCAAUUAAAGGCAAACUGUCAAAGCCAGAGGACCUCUUUGGCAGCACAUAAAGAGACUCUCAUCUGCACCUGGGGGGCAAAGUGGAGGAUCAGAUCCAGGACUCAAUUAUAUGUGCCACAGAGCUCCAAAAAUGAUUAAAUUCUCAAACACUGAAAGUCUACUAUGCCAAGGUCAGGACCAUGAAUAGGGAUAAGUGAGAAUCUGACACUUGGGAUGAGAAUACCUGGGUCGGUGCACUUUAAAACUCUGAAUGCCUAAAUUCCACUGAAACUUCUGGCCUACAGAAAUGGCUCAACCCUUUCUGUUGAAGGCUACUGUUCUCUCAUAGCUUGAAGAUGAUAGAGAGAUUUUUAUCUCUAUCUAAGAGAAUAUGGCUAUGAAACCAGCAACUAGGAUCAAAUUAUAAUAUAAUCUGACUGGAGAGGUGAUGUUUCUAUAGGAAGACAGUGGUUAUACCUAAAAAACCCAGUGUCUAGCCAACAUGUACUAGCAGAAGUCAGGAGAAUGUAUGGAUUUUAAAGAUGCCAUGACUUGGAGGGAGGAUGAAAUGUUAAUUUAGAUAAGGAAAAGCUUAUCUACAAAUAUUUAUUGAUAUAGCAGUAUUAUCCCAUAAAAGAAGAUUUAACACUUUGGCAAGGAUGCUGGGAGUUAGUCAUAGGUCUAGGAAGCUAAGGAUGUUCUUGGAAACUUCACAAGAAAAGAUAAAUGAAGUAGGAAUAUCAGAAAUGACACAGAAGAUGGUGGGAAAAAAGUCAUCAAAUGGCUCAGAGCUAUGGGAACAAUAGAGCAAAUAGGUUUCAUAAGUCCAGAACAUGAGAAAGCAGGGCCUGGGGCAAUCCAUUUACCAAAGGAAUUACCAUGAGGAAUGUCUUAAUGAGGAAACAUUACUGAGAAGCUCAUUGGUGGCUCUUCUCUGAGUGCUUUCUGAGAGUAAUGGGGAUAAAGGGAUCCUUGAAGAAUAGAAGCCAGGUGGUGGCACUUGGUUGAAACUAAAUAGGUGUAAUCAACUUAGGUUGCAUGUAUGGCUGCUUGAGGGUAAGUGGAGACUCUUACAGAGGAGAAAAAAGGACUCACUUUUUCAAAGAUGGGACAUCUCAUUAUGUGCACACAAGCCAAAACUAACCUGAUCCUGCAUAGAUCCUAUCAAGAGUGACUCCAAAAGUUAGUCAUGAACAUCCUUGUAAGAACAUCCUUGUAAGAAGAACUGCUAGUGAUGUACGUGGUCAUUUGCUUUGUUUGGAAGAGUUAGUAACCCAAAAUAAGAUAUAUGGAAUCUCAAGCAGUAGAAAAUGAUUUUAUUGGUAAUUCUGGUACUGGGAAGAAGAAAUGUAAGAUUAAGAAACAAUUCUGGGGGUGCCUGCAUGGCUCAGUUGGUUAAGCGUCUGACUCUUGGUUUUGGCACAGGUCAUGAUCUCAAGGUUUGUGGGAUAGAGCCC